CACGUAGGGCGCGAGCGUUUGUCCGGAAUUAUUGGGCGUAAAGAGCUCGUAGGCGGCCUGUUGCGUCCGCUGUGAAAGCCCGGGGCUUAACCCCGGGUCGGCAGUGGAUACGGGCAGGCUAGAGGUAGGUAGGGGAGAAUGGAAUUCCCGGUGUAGCGGUGAAAUGCGCAGAUAUCGGGGGGAACACCGGUGGCGAAGGCGGUUCUCUGGGCCUUACCUGACGCUGAGGAGCGAAAGCGUGGGGAGCGAACAGG
rnacentral:rRNA from 1 species